rnacentral:rRNA from 1 species
CAGUAGCCACGGUAAUACAGAGGGUGCGAGCGUUAAUCGGAUUUACUGGGCGUAAAGCGUGCGUAGGCGGCUAAUUAGUCGGAUGUGAAAUCCCCGAGCUUAACUUGGGAAUUGCAUUCGAUACUGGUUAGCUAGAGUGUGGGAGAGGAUGGUAGAAUUCCAGGUGUAGCGGUGAAAUGCGUAGAGAUCUGGAGGAAUACCGAUGGCGAAGGCAGCCAUCUGGCCUAACACUGACGCUGAGGUACGAAAGCAUGGGGAGCAAACAGGAUUAGAGACCCGCGUAGUCCCUGUCUCUUAUACC